AGGGUACCAAGUAGAGACAAACAACAGGGUAAAAAGCAGAGACAGACUGAUGCACUGUGGUCUAGGUAACUCCGUAACAGUCGCAAAAUAUACCUUGAAAGGGCAACCGCGGUGGCUGUUGGGAUCUAAACUGUGAUCAACAAAGGGUUUGAUCGGGUAGCGUGUCGGUGCGGAACGACACCUAUGGGAUCACGAAAAUCCCUACUACAGUUGGCGGGGCACGGGAUUGUGAGAAGAGCGGAUCUAACAGG